UGAAACUAUUUCAGCUGCAUG
rnacentral:piRNA from 1 species